rnacentral:rRNA from 1 species
ACGGGAUUCUGGUUGAUCCUGCCAGUAGUCAUAUGCUUGUCUCAAAGAUUAAGCCAUGCAUGUCUAAGUUCACACCCAUGUACGGUGAAACCGCGAAUGGCUCAUUAAAUCAGUCGAGGUUCCUUAGAUGAUCCAAAUUUACUUGGAUAACUGUGGUAAUUCUAGAGCUAAUACAUGCUGACCAGCUCCGACCCCUCCGGGAAAGAGCGCUUUUAUUAGUUCAAAACCAGUCGGGUUCUGCCCGUCCUUUGGUGACUCUGGAUAACUUUGUGCCGAUCGCAUGGCCUCGAGCCGGCGACGCAUCUUUCAAAUGUCUGCCCUAUCAAAUGACGAUG